GUCCGGGGAAAGGGGUGGAGGUAGUCGGAGUGCAUGGUGAGGGGGAAACGGAGGAGAAUUCAUUUGGUUCCAAAUUAGCCCCUCCUACGGUUUCCAUGGCUGCUGUCCCAACAAUGUCUCCCUUUACAGUACCAGAAAACUUCACAAAAUAACACCAUCUGUCAACAGGUAUGAAAAUUAAAAACCCACAUCAACAAUCCUAGAAAAUACAUUAUUUUUUCCCUAUACAUUAACAAAAUAUUGCUAGUUUUGUGAUGAACGUUAAAAAAUAUACCCAUAAAGAAAACACAUCCUUGUUAUUGCUAAUUUUGCUAUGUUAAAAACAAAUAUGAAUCAAUCUUUGGUAAACACAUCCUUCGAAAGUACAUAGGAAAAAGUACUAUUUUUUUCCGUAUUUGUUUCAAGUUGGUGGAAGAUGCAGCACCAGUUUCCACAUAUGCAGUUUGACCCCCUGGCAGAGGUGUAAAGACAGCGGGGAGUCAGAAGGUGACACAUGCAGAGUGGCUGAGGAGGAUAGGGCUGGAGACAACUAUCCCUGCGGGGCUGGCCUUUGUAGGAGGAACCGGAGAAGUAGCCACAAACUUGGAGGAGCUGGAAGCUGCAGGAGACAGGGGGACAUUCAGGCAGACGUGGACCACCCACCCCCAUCCCUACCAGACAGCAUGUGGGGCAAAACCCCUCCCAGCUGGAACUGGAGGAAGGUGUCAGCGUCUUAUUCUGUGACUGUGUCGUGCAUCCCCGAUGUCUUACAAAGCCACACUGUCACUGCUAUCACUGGCACCAGCACCAGGAGGCAGACUGGGAGGGGAAGCAGUGAAUCUCUAUCAUCUUCGUCUGGUGACUCUGGCCUGUGGCACCCAGGUCCUUCCUGCCAGCACGGGGGAGAUCAGGGGUGCUGCAGCCCUACCCCAACACCCCAGAACAGACAGAACACAGGCAUCCAGGCCCCCAGGGCUGGGGAGGGACACCAGGCACCCAAGCACCCAGAGAAGGGGAACAGAAACCAGGUACCUGGGCUCCUCCCCAGUGGAGCUGUUAAGGUCAUUUGGGGGGAGGGGGGGAAGCUGGACCCAGACAAGCCCCCUAUUUGCUGCCCCCCACAACAUUAGUGAGGCAAGCACACUGUGUGUAUGUGUGCGCGUGCCUAGUGAGGCCACCAGUGCACACGUGUGCACACAUCUAGUAAGGCCACCAGUGUGUGUGUGCAUGUGAGUGUCUAGUGAGGUCAGUACACUGUGUACAUGUGCCUAGCGAGGCAAGUAUACUGUGUGUGCACAUAGGUAGUGAGGCAAGCACAGUGUGUGUGUGUGUGUGUGUUCAUAGGGUGAGUUCCACAAGCACUCCCCACCAUACACAUGCACUCCCCCUCACACUGCCAUACAUGCAGACCCCCCCUCGCCCCAU